CCUACGGGUGGCAGCAGUAGGGAAUCUUCCACAAUGGACGAAAGUCUGAUGGAGCAACGCCGCGUGAGUGAAGAAGGGUUUCGGCUCGUAAAGCUUUGUUGGUAGUGAAGAAAGAUAGAGGUAGUAACUGGCCUUUAUUUGACGGUAAUUACUUAGAAAGUCACGGCUAACUACGUGCCAUCAGCCGGGGUAAUACGUAGGUGGCAAGCGUUGUCCGGAUUUAUUGGGCGUAAAGCGAGUGCAGGCGGUUCAAUAAGUCUGAUGUGAAAGCCUUCGGCUCAACCGGAGAAUUGCAUCAGAAACUGUUGAACUUGAGUGCAGAAGAGGAGUGUGGAACUCCAUGUGUAGCGGUGGAAUGCGUAGAUAUAUGGAAGAACACCAGUGGCGAAGGCGGCUCGCUGGGCUGCAACUGACGCUGAGGCUCGAAAGCAUGGGUAGCGAACAGGAUUAGAUACCCCAGUAGUC
rnacentral:rRNA from 1 species